AGUUGAGUUUAUGUUAAAACAUCUUGCCAUAAUUACAAAUUCGUGACCUUGAAAUGAUGAAUCCAUGACGCAAUUUAAGAUAUCUCAAAAUGUUCUUCUUGGCUAAUCAUGAUGUAAAUGCAUAUAUUUUAAAUUACCAUUCAGGAUAUUAGAAAUGUAGUUGUUUCUAGUCAAAUCUCAUUUUUAUAUAUCCAGAUUUUUAGCAGAGCCAAUUUUAUGCUAAAUCUGCCUGCCAUAAAAAGGUGUUUUCCUUCCCAUUGGUCCUCUGGCUCAUUAUUAUUCAGGUGUUUGCAAUCCACCGCCUCAUGUGCUGCUUUUAAAGCGGUUCCCCCUCAUAUUGAACUUUAACCCGACGGAAAUGGACGUCUCCGAGAAAAGACCACGCCACUCCGUGAAGACUGUGGCGUGGUCUCUGAGCAAAACCGGCUUUGCUGCAGCGAUGGAUCUCGGAAUGGAGAUCCAGCAGCGGUGGCUCAGAUGUGGAGGAUCCACCGGUUUUAUUCGCGCCCCGCGGGUUGGAUGAUUGGUUUGUUUCCCUGGAACAUCGGAUCUCUGGCCUGGAGGAGAAACGGCGGAACCCCGCCAGAGGAAAAGACGGUGCAACAAACUGGCGGAAGUUGUUCACCGUCUUCACAAUGCGGAAACGAACAACAGUCGUUACAAGCCACAACAGGGAAUGAGCUCUGUGCACAACCAUGCAGUUACUAUCGGCCUAGUCCAAUCCCUGAGGGCAUAUCCGGAUUUUCAGCGCGUGGAGAGUGGCGUUCUCAUUUCUUCUUGUAAGACUUAUUUUGAGACGAUAUGAAGAAACUUUAGGUACCAGCAGCCGCACCUUGCACACAAGGCCGCUUUGCAGAAGAACUCCUCCAAGAGUCGGGCAAGAAGGAAGAGAGUCAGCUAUUUUGAUGAAACCUGAUCUUCUGCCUGUUGCAGUUACUGUUGGCCAGGCAGAGCAUGCUGAAAGCGGAGGAGCUGGAGCUCCGGCGCGGCGUCACGACGGAGCUGAUGUCCGACGAGGAGGACGGCGCGUUGGACGGCACGUAUGGAUGGAUUGUGCGUCGUCCCUCGUUUCGUAGGAAGGAACUCAGCGACCUUUGCACGGCUCUUCAGAGCAGACUGGAUUCCUCUCCGAAGUACAACGCCACACAUCACCAGCGGCUGCGCUUUGGACCCGACUCUGACAGACCGCCGCCCAGCAACUACAGCGGCGAGGCGGCGAAGAGACACUUCAAACCAGAGGCUUUGCCCGUAAUUCUAGAAUAACUACCAGAACUCCUUCACUUUACAACAUAAAAACAUUCGCAUCUGCAGAUCAUUUCCUGGUUGUCUCCAGCGUCCGUGCUGACUUCCUCCUCCUCCUCUUCGUUCAGAGCGACCUUCCCAGCUGAAGUCUCUACUUCCUGGUCCAUCCUGCAGUCUGCAGGUGGUUCU